GCCCAUGGCUCUAGUCACUUAACUUCUCUGAGCCUCACUUUCCUUAAUUGUAAAGGAGUCCAGGAAUUUGGGGCUGCAGUGCACUAUGCCGAUCAGGUGUCUGCACUAAGUUCAGCAUCAAUAUGCUGACCUCCCGGGAGUCGGGCACCACCAGGUUGCCUAAGGCGGGGUGAACUGGUCCAGCUCAGAAACGGAGCAGGUCAAAACUCCCGUGCUGAUCAGUAGUGGGAUAGUGCCUGUGAAGAGCUACUAUACUCCAGCCUGGGAAACAUAGUGAGA
rnacentral:SRP_RNA from 1 species